GUGAGCAUAGUUCAGUUGGUAGGACAACGCAUUAUUAUAUGCAGGGGUCGGGGUUCGAACCCCGGACACUCCACU
rnacentral:tRNA from 1 species